GACGAACGCCGGCGGCGUGCCUAAUACAUGCAAGUCGAGCGGACAGAAGGGAGCUUGCUCCCGGAAGUUAGCGGCGGACGGGUGAGUAACACGUGGGCAACCUACCCUGUGGAUCGGGAUAACAUCGAGAAAUCGGUGCUAAUACCGGAUAAUCAUUUGAAGUGCAUGCUUCGAAUGUAAAAGAUGGCUCCGGCUAUCACUACGGGAUGGGCCCGCGGCGCAUUAGCUAGUCGGUAAGGUAAUGGCUUACCAAGGCAACGAUGCGUAGCCGACCUGGGAGGGUGAUCGGCCACACUGGGACUGAGACACGGCCCAGACUCCUACGGGAGGCAGCAGGAGGGAAUCUUCCGCAAUGGACGAAAGUCUGACGGAGCAACGCCGCGUGAGUGAUGAAGGUUUUCGGAUCGUAAAGCUCUGUUGUUAGGGAAGAACAAGUGCCGUUUGAAUAAGGCGGCACCUUGACGGUACCUAACCAGAAAGCCACGGCUAACUACGUGCCAGCCGCCGCCGUAAGAC
rnacentral:rRNA from 1 species